UAUCAAGUGAUAAAUCUUAAUGCUAUUGAUUCAGAGGGGAAGGAGGAAAUUUGAGACUACAAAGCCACACAGGAAUUCGUUUGAGUAUAUGAAUAUCAGACCCUCAAAUUAUUUGUCUACAAAUAUAACAAACAACAAAAACAGCUCUGCAUCAUCAUUAGGCACAAGUUACAUAUCUGAGUUAAUCAUCAUCCUCUAGAACACUCCGCCGCCUCUGGAUUGUGACUUUUGUCUGUUUAGUUGUUUGAUUGUUAAUCUGUUCCAGUAAUGAAAUGAGCCU
rnacentral:misc_RNA from 1 species